rnacentral:rRNA from 1 species
UAUAGAGGGGGCAAGCGUUGUUCGGAAUUACUGGGCGUAAAGGGCGCGUAGGCGGCCUGCUAAGUCGAACGUGAAAUCCCCGGGCUCAACCCGGGAACUGCGUCCGAUACUGGUUGGCUUGAAUCCAGGAGAGGGAUGCGGAAUUCCAGGUGUAGCGGUGAAAUGCGUAGAUAUCUGGAGGAACACCGGUGGCGAAGGCGGCAUCCUGGACCGGCAUUGACGCUGAGGCGCGAAAGCCAGGGGAGCAAACGGG